rnacentral:rRNA from 1 species
GUCUGUUCGACUUUUAAAAAAUUACAUGAUUUGAGUUCAGACCGGUGUAAACCAGGUCGGUUUCUAUCUUCUUAUAUUUCUUCUAGUACGAAAGGACCUAAGAUUAUAAUU